CCAUUUUGAUUUUUUUGAAGCAAAACCCUGAAACCAAUCUUGAUUAACUUAUGUCCCUUGCCAAGAAUGGAGAGCAUCCAAAAAUUAAAAAGUAAGAUUUGUUCAAUUUAGGGAGAAAGGGGAAAGAUUGCUUCAUAAACAAGAAAAAGUAUAAAAAUGAAAGAAAAAUGAAAGAAAAGGAAAAGAAAAAGAAAAAAGAGAUGAAUGAUGAGAUCGUUUGCAUAAAAUGAAAU
rnacentral:lncRNA from 1 species